rnacentral:rRNA from 1 species
UACGGAGGGUGCAAGCGUUAUCCGGAUUCACUGGGUUUAAAGGGUGCGUAGGCGGCCACCGCAAGUCGACUGUGAAAUCUCCGGGCUUAACUCGGAAAGGUCAGCCGAUACUGCGGGCUAGAGUGCAGAAGGGCAACUGGAAUUCUCGGUGUAGCGGUGAAAUGCGUAGAUAUCGAGAGGAACACCUGCGGCGAAGGCGGGUUGCUGGGCUGACACUGACGCUGAUUGUGCGAAAGCUAGGGGAGCGAACGGG